GUCAGAUGAUUUGAAUUGGUAAGCUGAUGAUCUGUGAGGUGCAAAAGUCAAUAGCAUGUUAGAGUUCUGAUGGCA
rnacentral:snoRNA from 1 species